GAACAAGAGCUUCAAAGAAGGACCAAAGGACCACUCUGCUGUUUGUGUUGUCGUUGACUGUUGAGGACAAACAAACAAUCAAAAUUUAAUAACAAAAAAAAAAAGCAUAGGCAUCAUAAACAUCAUCCUCUACCCUUGACUCUGUCAAAGUAAUAUUUUUACACCAUUCAUAGUACUCUAAAUACUUCUGUCCCCAAGAGACCCAAAGACUUGGGUAAUU